rnacentral:ncRNA from 2 species
AUGAUUGUAUGUGGAGAGUACGCGAAAGCGUCGCCGAAGGAGCAAGUAACAGAGGUUGCGAAUCUCUCAGGCAAAAAGACUCAUACAUGACG